rnacentral:rRNA from 1 species
UACGAAGGGGGCUAGCGUUAAUCGGAAUUACUGGGCGUAAAGCGUGCGCAGGCGGUUUUGUAAGUCUGACGUGAAAUCCCCGGGCUCAACCUGGGAAUUGCGUUGGAGACUGCAAGGCUGGAGUCUGGCAGAGGGGGGUAGAAUUCCACGUGUAGCAGUGAAAUGCGUAGAGAUGUGGAGGAACACCGAUGGCGAAGGCAGCCCCCUGGGUUAAGACUGACGCUCAUGCACGAAAGCGUGGGGAGCAAACAGG